rnacentral:rRNA from 1 species
GACGAACGCUGGCGGCGUGCCUAAUACAUGCAAGUAGAACGCUGAAGGAGGAGCUUGCUCUUCUGGAUGAGUUGCGAACGGGUGAGUAACGCGUAGGUAACCUGCCUGGUAGCGGGGGAUAACUAUUGGAAACGAUAGCUAAUACCGCAUAAGAGUAGAUGUUGCAUGACAUUUACUUAAAAGGUGCAAUUGCAUCACUACCAGAUGGACCUGCGUUGUAUUAGCUAGUUGGUGGGGCAACGGCUUACCAAGGCGACGAUACAUAGCCGACCUGGGAGGGUGAUCGGCCAAACUGGGACUGGGACACGGCCCAGACUCCUACGGGAGGGAGCAGUAGGGAAUCUUCGGAAAUGGACGGAAGUCUGACCGAGCAACGCCGCGUGAGUGAAGAAGGGUUUCGGAUCGUAAAGCUCUGUUGUAAGAGAAGAACGAGUGUGAGAGUGGAAAGUUCACACUGUGACGGUAUCUUACCAGAAAGGGACGGCUAACUACGUG